GAAAACAAGGGUGUCCAAUUUAACUUGGAGCCCGAACUCUCACUUUCUAACCCUGUGCAUCUGUUAUUGGUUAGUAGCUCUUCGGAGUGAACUCCAUUCACUUACAAACACAAAGUUUAUGAAUGUAUACAAAAUUAUAACAAAACAAAACUUUCAACAACGGAUCUCUUGGCUCU
rnacentral:misc_RNA from 1 species